rnacentral:rRNA from 1 species
AGUGAACGCUGGCGGUAGGCCUAACACAUGCAAGUCGAACGGCAGCACAGGAGAGCUUGCUCUCUGGGUGGCGAGUGGCGGACGGGUGAGGAAUACAUCGGAAUCUACUUUUUCGUGGGGGAUAACGUAGGGAAACUUACGCUAAUACCGCAUACGACCUACGGGUGAAAGCAGGGGACCUUCGGGCCUUGCGCGAUUGAAUGAGCCGAUGUCGGAUUAGCUAGUUGGCGGGGUAAAGGCCCACCAAGGCGACGAUCCGUAGCUGGUCUGAGAGGAUGAUCAGCCACCCUGGAACUGAGACACGGUCCAGAAUCCUACGGGAGGCAGCAGUGGGGAAUAUUGGACAAUGGGCUCAAGCCUGAUCCAGCCAUACCGCGUGGGUGAAGAAGGCCUUCGGGUUGUAAAGCCCUUUUGUUGGGAAAGAAAUCCAGCUGGCUAAUACCCGGUUGGGAUGACGGUACCCAAAGAAUAAGCACCGGCUAACUUCGUGCCAGCAGCCGCGGUAA